AGAGUUUGAUCAUGGCUCAGAAUGAACGUUGGCGGCGUGGAUUAGGCAUGCAAGUCGAGCGAGAAGCCUCCUUCGGGAGGUGGACAGCGGCGAAAGGGAGAGUAACGCGUGGAUUAUCUGCCCCUGGAUCCGGGAUAGCUGCGGGAAACUGCAGGUAAUACCGGAUAAUGUCUCCGGACCAAAGGUGUGAUUCCGUCCAGGGAUGAGUCCGCGUCCUAUUAGCUAGUUGGCAGGGUAACGGCCUACCAAGGCGAUGAUGGGUACUGGGUGUGAGAGCACGACCCAGCUCACUGGGACUGAGACACUGCCCAGACACCUACGGGUGGCUGCAGUCGAGGAUCUUCGGCAAUGGGCGCAAGCCUGACCGAGCGACGCCGCGUGCGGGAUGAAGGCCUUCGGGUUGUAAACCGCUGUCAGAGGGGAUGAAAUAUCGGAGGGUUCUCCCUCCGAUUUGACAGAUCCUCAGAGGAAGUACGGGCUAAGUUCGUGCCAGCAGCCGCGGUAAGACGAACCGUACAAACGUUAUUCGGAAUCACUGGGCUUAAAGGGUGCGUAGGCGGUGCGGAAAGUUGGGUGUGAAAUCCCUCGGCUCAACCGAGGAAUUGCGCCCAAAACUACCGUGCUUGAGGGAGACAGAGGUGAGUGGAACUUAGGGUGGAGCGGUGAAAUGCGUUGAUAUCCUAAGGAACACCAGUGGCGA
rnacentral:rRNA from 1 species